rnacentral:lncRNA from 1 species
AAACAAACAAAAUGGAGAAGAGAAGGAUUGUUGGACUUAUGUGGGAUGCAACUCUGGAGUGGGCUCCCGAUAAGAGGAUGAAUUCAGCCCUCCUUCCUCUUCUUUCACGUGUUCUCUUGCCCUUCCACCCUCCACCAUGGGAUGACACACCAAGAAGGCCUUCACCAGAUGUGGGCCCUUGACCUUGGACUUCCCAGCCUCCAGAACUGCUUUGAAGUGAAGAAGGUCUCAAAGAAGAGGCUGUUGGCCUGGGUUAUUUUUUCCUCCAAAGGAGCAUGUUGUAUCUUCUCUUACUGGCCAUAUGGACGUUUUGACUACAUUCAAGAAAGAAUUAAUUUUUAUGAAUAAGUUUUUUAAAAAAUACAAAAAAAUACACUUUGGAAAACCUAAAUAACAGAUUAAUGUCCAAAGGAAAAAGCAAGUCACCACUUCUCAACAAUCCUACCAGCAGAAGGAGAAACCAACUCCAAGUUCUUAUUGGAAUAUUUACAGGGUACUGGAGGGGCUCACAGUAUUAAGGAGAAGACUCCGGCAGCCUCUGAAAGAAAGAAAACUAGGGAAGCUCUGGAAACACCAAUAAACGACCUCUGUCUAGGACGCUGCUGGUGGAUGACUCAAUGUGAUGGUUCAUUUCAUGUGUCAGCUUGGAUGGGCUAUAGGGUGCAGGUAUUGGGUCAAACAUUAUUCUAGAUGUAUCUGUGAAGCUCUAUUUUAGAUGAGAUAGACACUGAAAUGGGUGAACUUUGAGUAAAGAAGAGCACUCGCUAUAAUGUGGGUGAGCCUCUUCCAAUCAGGUGAAGACCUUAGCAGAAAAAAAACUGACUGUAGGCGUCCC